GACGAACGCUGGCGGCGUGCUUAACACAUGCAAGUCGGACGGUCGGGCUAUGAAGGUUCGCUGGAGUGGCUCGAUAGUGGCGGACGGGUGAGUAACGCGUGAGGACAUGUCUUCAGGAGGGGGAUAACGUAUGGAAACGGACGCUAAGACCACGUAUGCAGGAGGGUGAAAGUGGCGAAAGGCAGCCUGGGGGGUGACUCGCGUCCUAUCAGCUAGUGGGCGGGGUGAAGGCCAACCAAGCCGAGGAAGGGUAGCCGCCCUGAUAGGGUGGCCGGCCAAACUGGAACUGAGAUACGGUCCAGACUCCUACGGGAGGCAGCAGUGGGGAAUAUUGGGCAAUGGGCGAAAGCCUGACCCAGCGACGCUGCGUGGGGGAAGAAGUCUUUCGGGAUGUAAACCCUUGUUGUUCGGGACGAAGGAAGUGACGGUACCGUACGAGGAAGCCCCGGCAAACUACGUGCCAGCCGCCGCGGUAACAC
rnacentral:rRNA from 1 species